UGCCCUCCAACCAUCGGAGUGGUGGUAUGCUGCGACUGGUGCCCACACAAUAGACAUUUAUCUAUUCAAAUACUGAAAAGCUGUAGAUGCUGUUUGCCAUAGUUCAGUUGGUCCUGUCUACCAUAGACAUACACAUCGCUUGUUGCUGUUGUCUUCUUGGAAAAUGAUUUUGCCGGCCACGCACUUCAAGACACUGCAGACAGAGAGUGUUGCCAGAUGGGAGGACAGAAGCACGCAACAGGUCGCGCUCUGAAAACAAGUUGGUAUAAUACGCAGACCAGGCAACACUACAUAAGUGGUGUCCAAGCUGACCUCCUGCAACACAGGAUUGGAACGGUCCAUCAAGGGCCACACUUAGUGCCGUAGCGGGAGAAAUUGGCUGCUGUUCACUUGCUACUGAUGAGCCACAAGCGAGCAGAAAUGGACAAAAGAUAGUCUACUUUAUGGAAAUAUCAGGUUCAAAGUCAUUGCAAGUUGUUCUCCCGACAAGAAAAGACUAUUUCCCACCCUGAGAAGAGGCGACAUUCCUGCAGCAAACACCUGCUGCUCGCGUCGUUCUAGAGUACAAGUACAGAUGGCUGAUAAGAUGAGACCGCAACAUCUGGAAGAGCAGCGAAACACAGCUGUGUGACAAAGUGACAUUGCACAGCCAUCAGACUGUAUAAUGCAUAUGUUCCUUCUUGACUGCACUUAAAUGUAGAAUAUAUUUAUAUUAUUCAUAUCUUAUAAAUUAUAUUUAUAUAUAUAAUAUAUGUCAUAUUAUCUAUUUUUAUUAUUGUUUAUUGUGAGCGAACUGUGGUACUGAAUUUCCCUCAGGGAUCAAUAAAGUACUUUCUAUUCUAUUUUGCUACCUCACUUUAGCUACCUCAACUUGCCAGCAUUUUGAGAUAUGAGCCAGGGCCGCAUGGUUAUGGUCAAAAUGAUCAUCUUCAUUUUUAUGAAUAAUGAAAUGGGGUUAGUGCGUCUGCCUCACAAUACGAAGGUCCUGAGUAAUCUUGAGUUCA